rnacentral:lncRNA from 1 species
GCCUAAACUCCAUAUUCAGGCAUCAUUUUUCUUUUGCUUGGAAGAGGUUAUCCAGUCAUUCUAGAGUCUCUACAAUGUCAAAUCAGAUUCAUAUGUGUACUUGGAAAUGGUACACCAAAUCAGUGAUAUAUAUUCAGAUGAAGAGCCUCUCUUUGGCUAUAUUGUUGUUUAGGUAGAAUUAUAUUACGGAUCAACUAUGGUAAGUGUUUAAAUUUGAGACAAGAUAUGAUCCUAACCUGUGUUAUCAAAGGGCGCUUUAAGCGCGCUUAAGCCCUGAAACAUGUUGAGCGCUUCGCCUCGCUUAGCGUGCCCUUCAAUGUUGUCAUCAAGGCUCUAGAAAUACUUUUCUUUGCCAAUGAACGUAAUCCUAAAGAGAGGCAACACUAAACAAUUGAUAUUUUACUUUAUCGUAAAUUUUCUUUCAUUUCUUUGUCCAUAUAUUUGGUAUUCAUGGUUGUCGAUAUUAGUAUUAGAAUACACAUACAUAUUUGUAAUUUUUCUCCAUUUGCGCCUUUUUCAUUAAAACCAAGCUUUAUUUUACCCUUCAAGCCUCAACUGACCUUAGAGCUCUUUUGCGCUUUUCGCUUUUAAUAACAGUGAUCCUAACCCGGUUAUAUGAAGAAGCAAUGACUAAGUCGGAAAAAAACGAUGAACUAAAAUGUCAAAUCAAAAGAAAAAGAUGGGUCGGCUGGGUCUUUCUUGUAAUUAUUACUUUAUCAAGCAAGUGUCAAAAUUAAAAGUGGUUGGUUUUGAAGGGAAUGUUGGCUCAGCACUGAUGGCUGCGUAUAUCCCUUAGUGAAGAGAAUUCACAUCUUCAUUAUCUUGAGGGAUGAAAAGGGUUAGAACCAAAAACUUCUAGUUGGGCACCCCAGAUAAGAAUGACAUGAGUAUUUAGGAGUCGUUUGGUUCAACCCUGGGAUAGAAAAGGUUAUCCCAUGGGAUUGUAAUCCCUCCUACUAUAUGAGAUAGCUAAACCCAAGUUUUUGGUAUAAGUUCUAAUCCUGAUUUGAGUUAAUACCUACAGCCAAAAUUUUAUAUUGGGAAAACCCCCUAGUCCUUGUAACCAAACGGCCGUUAGAAUUUUGAUUUGUCAAAGAGUCAGAUUUGUAGCCUGAUUAGCUGAGACUUCUUCAAAAAUAUCGUGGGAGUCCUUUUUUUUUUCUCCCUACGUUAACCAGGAAGUAUCAUUGAGGAGC